AACAUGCUAGAGGCCAAGAGCUC
rnacentral:piRNA from 1 species